rnacentral:rRNA from 1 species
UGCAGCCAUGCCGCGUGUGUGAAGAAGCCGUUCGGGUUGUAAAGCACUUUCAGUAGGGAGGAAGGUAGUGAGUUUAACACCUGCAUUAUUUGACGUUACCUACAGAAGAAGCACCGGCUAACUCCGUGCCAGCAGCCGCGGUAAUACGGAGGGUGCGAGCGUUAAUCGGAAUUACUGGGCGUAAAGCGCAUGCAGGCGGCCUGUUAAGUCAGAUGUGAAAGCCCGGGGCUUAACCUCGGAAUUGCAUUUGAAACUGGCAGGCUAGAGUCUUGUAGAGGGGGGUAGGAAUUUCAGGUGUAGCGGUGAAAUGCGUAGAGAUCUGAAGGAAUACCAGUGGCGAAGGCGGCCCCCUGGACAAAGACUGACGCUCAGAUGCGAAAGCGUGGGGAGCAAACAGGAUUAGAUACCCUGGUAG